rnacentral:misc_RNA from 1 species
AACUUUUAGCAAUGGAUCUCUUGGUUCUGGCAUCGAUGAAGAACGCAGCGAAAUGCGAUAAGUAAUGUGAAUUGCAGAAUUUAGUGAAUCAUCGAAUCUUUGAACGCACAUUGCGCCCUUUGGUAUUCCGAAGGGCAUGCCUGUUCGAGCGUCAUUACAACCACUCAAGCCUUUGCUUGGUCUUGGGGCUCGCGGUCUCGCGGCCCCUAAAAUCAGUGGCGGUGCCGGUCGGCUCUACGCGUAGUAAUACUCCUCGCGACAGGGUCCGGACGGUGUCUUGCCAGCAACCCCCAUAUUAUUUUCAGGUUGACCUCGGAUCAGGUAGGGAUACCCGCUGAACUUAAGCAUAUCAAUAAGCGGAGGCU